AAUAUUAGUUAUUUUUAUUAAUGAGGUAUUAUGUUUUAUCAUUUGCUGUAUCAUACUUUUAUGAUUAUGAUAAAUCCAAUAGAUUAGGGCAAUGAUUUUAGGAUCAUGAUCAGAUCAUGCUAGUGAGAUCCAAAAUCUUGAUAGUUUCAAUCUAAAAUAGUUUUAAUCAUUGGAUCAUCGAGUCGGAGAUCGAUGACUCUGAUAAGACUGGUACAUCCUAUGUAUACUCGAUAGAGAGGGUGGUUCAUCUCACAACCACUUGUGUGGUGACACUAAUACAAAGAUGUAUGUGCU
rnacentral:lncRNA from 1 species